UGGGAUGUAGAGUAAACAGUGAUAGCUGAACCUUAAUGCUCUAUGCCACAUAAGAAAUGGGGGCCUGUUUCUGGGGCCGAUUUGGGGUCCAAGACAUUCAAGUUACUCUUCUACUGCAGUAUCGCUCCAUGCAGCGGAUUACUGGGGUGCUGUGCCGAAGAUCUGGGGGGACCCCCAUGAUCAGACAUAGUAUAUCCUACCCUUUGGAGUAUCCCUUUAAAGGUAUUAUAUGUAACUGGAAGAAACAUGGCUGCUUUAUUCCAGAUACUGGGCAAACCACAAUGCAAAGUAGAGAGAGCACCAGGCACCACUGAAAUAUCUCUGUGCUGCUCUGUAAUUCCUUCCUUUCUGUUUUCAUACAGGAGUCUGACAGGACAGGAGUGAGCACAGACAGUGUUAGUCCCACCCUCACUUCCUGGACCUUGUCCCAGCCUGUGCUUCAGCUGGAACCAAGAUGAUGCUGGUGCCCAACAGGAUUAUGUUCUGGAUGCCUUCAGAGGAGUCAUUUCAUUCUUCCAUGUCAGUUUACAUUGGAGAUUUAUUAUAUAUCGAUGUAUAUCCUUGCUUGCUCUACAAUACUUGUGACUAAGAUAACGCAAUUGUGGUGUCCCAGUACAGGAGUUGUCCUGUCAGCUCGGUUCGGAGCUCCGCCCAUGCCCCAAGGCCCUCAUUUGCAUAAAAAGAAAAAGGAGAAUUGCAGCUGAACGGUUGGGCAAAUCUGGAAGCUGUGAGUAUCGUUUUGAUCAGCAUCACCAACACUACAAGCCAGUGAUACUGCUGACAGAUUUCCUUUAAGAGAGUGCUCCCAAUCUCAGCUCAUCACUUGUAUAAAAGACACCUGGGAGUCAGAAAUCUUGCUGUUCGAUAGUGGAUCAAAUAUUUAUUUCACUGAGUAAAAUCCAAAUCAAUUCGUAACUUAUUUCAAAUGUGUUUUUCUGUCUUUCUCUGUUCACAUAAACCCAAUAA